GUAGUCGUGGCCGAGUGGUUAAGGCGAUGGACUUGAAAUCCAUUGGGGUCCCCCCGCGCAGGUUCAAAUCCUGCCGACUACG
rnacentral:tRNA from 1 species